rnacentral:misc_RNA from 1 species
UUUUGAUAACUGUUUUCGUUAAUCCUAAGAAAAUGUAGGUACUCGGAAAAGUGGAAAAGAUGUUGCAUAUAUAUCUUAGUUAAUAGAAACAAUACAUAAUUAUCGAUAUUCAUUUUUGGGUGGAAAACUACAAUUUUUUUAUUUCAAUGGUAUCUACAGAAGCGACUAACUCGCAAGCAACGAGUUUUACAAUUUCAGGAUACACGCUUGCAGACGGUUCCUCUUGGAAUUCGUACAUCAUCGAUUAUCCUGAAAUUAGGGCUGAUUAUCUGGAAAUUUUACUCGUGAUGUCAGUUCCCGACAGAUCUUAAGCGUCAUCACGCACUUCCGUUCGUGGAAUACAAAAUGUCGGAUU